UUCAUAGCUCAGUUGGUAAAGCAAUGCACUGGUAUUGCAGAGGUCAUGGGUUUGGUUCCUGUUGUAAAAA